rnacentral:lncRNA from 1 species
GGUGGCUGUGAUUAAAGACAACUCAAAAUUAUAUGCAUUUUUUAAAUGCACGCCUAAACCUGGCCAGGUGGCGAAUGCCUGUAAUCCUGGCACUAAUCCCGGCGCUGAAGCCGGGGGAAUCACAAGUUCAAACUCAACCUAAGCAAUUUAUGGACUUAGAGUCUGUGUCAAAAUAAAAAAUGAAAGCCAGGCAUGGCGGUGCACACCUGUAAUCCCAGCCCUCGGGAGAGGAUCGCCGCAAAUUUGGAGGCCAGCCUGAACUGCAAAGUGAUAUAUAUGUUUUUGAGACAGGGUCUCACUAGGUCGCUAAAUAGCCCAUGUUGACCUGGAAUUUGUGAUCCUCCUGCCUCAGCCUCCCAGGGUGCUGGGGUUACACGCAUCCAGUUUGAAUAUGAUUAUGUAUUUACCCUUUUUUGGUGAUACUGGGGAAUGAACCCAGGUUCUUCACACUGAGCUACAUCCCCAGCCCAUUAUAUUAUUAUUGUUGUUGUUGUUAUUAUUAUUAUUACUAUUAUUAUUAUUAUUUUAUCAUUAUUAUUCACUGAGGCAGAGCCCAGGCUGGGUUCUAAUCUUUGAUCCUCCUGCCUCAGCCUCCCAAGUGCUGAGAUUACAGGCGUGUGCCGCCCCGCCCCGGCUUGAUAAGAUUAUCCUAACCCAGAGCAGACGAGUUAUCCUAUCAGCCCCUCUGCGAGUAACACAGGUGCACCCUCCAGUCAUGCUUUAUUAACAUCAAAAUAGCCUGGAAGGCGGGCUUACCUGGGGUUUAAAAGGAGCCCCUAGGGGUUUGGGGACGACCGGUUUCUCCCGCAGUCUUCGGCCCCUGGGCUCAGAGUCGGCCUGGGACGCUGAAGCUUCUCCCGGUCAUGCUGGAUCGAGGCCGGGACGGGUCCUCCCUGCAGCCCAUGGAGCCCUCCCCACAGCCCAUGGAGCCCGUGCCCAUGGCCGAGGAGGCGGCGGCCGUACAGCGGGACGAAGAGAGCUCCCAAACGCUGCUCAGGGACUUCCGAAACUUGACUCUCAACGCUGCCGAGCAGCGCCCUUCCCCUCCACCCACGGGGUCUCAGGGCAGCAGCGAGGGAGACCGACUGCGCGGCCCGAGCCUGGGGCGGGCGGACCCCCGCGCACCAGACCGUGCUGUCCUUGUGCAGGGAGCGCAUGGCGCGCAUGCUCACGAACGCCCGGCGGUUCCCGCGGGCCUUCGGAGACGAGCGUUUGAAGGUAGCUAAGGAUGAACCCAGAAGCAUGCCCUUCAAGUGCGUCUGCAGCUUCUGCGUCUCUCACGCAUGGGACCCUUUGGAGAACACUAGAAUAGGGAGUGAUUACAACACAGUCAGUGUAGGUGCAAGUCUUAGACGAUCUGUGGGAUGAAUGACGACAAUGCGCUUUGACUUUAUUUGACCCAGCAAGGCUCCAGUAGGUCU